CAGCAGCCGCCGCGGUAAUACGUAGGGGGCAAGCGUUAUCCGGAUUUACUGGGUGUAAAGGGAGCGUAGACGGAAUGGCAAGUCUGAAGUGAAAUGCCCGGGCUCAACCCGGGAACUGCUUUGGAAACUGUCGAUCUGGAGUGUUGGUGAGGUAAGUGGAAUUCCUGGUGUAGCGGUGAAAUGCGUAGAGAUCAGGAAGAACACCGGAGGCGAAGGCGGCUUACUGGACAAAGACUGACGUUGGGGCUCGAAAGCGUGGGAAGCAAACAGGAUUAGAUACCCCUGUAGUCCCUGUCUCUUAUAC
rnacentral:rRNA from 1 species